rnacentral:tRNA from 1 species
CCCUGGGUGGCUCAGUGGUUGAGCAUCUGCCUUUGGCCCAGCUCAUGAUCCCGGAGUCCUGGGAUCGAAUCCCACCUCAGGCU